CAGGCUAUGUUGUUGAAAUGGGCCAAAAAUUCACUAAGUUUUAUACAACAGAAGGCCCGUGGCAACGCACGGUCAUGUCACACACUGAUGAAUUAUUGGCAUGGGAUAAUCUCUAACUAGCGAGCACCUAGACUGUUUGCUCCAUAAAGCACGUCUGCACAUAUAUUUUGUACUGUAAGCAAUUCCUUUAUUCGCAUUCAAAAUCUAAAUAGUAUGGAAAUCAGGAAAAUUAUAUAGCUAUUUGGGUGUAUCUCUACUCCUAAUGUCAGGGGUAUUCUAUUAACUACUGGGUUGUUGAUCUACAUUACGGUUUAAUUCUUACACGAAUUAAUGUUGACUCGAUUCCCUGUAGUAGGUUGAGAGGCUUCUCCUCUCAUGAUUUACUCUGAUUAAUUUGCUUGGCUCCAUGCUCCUCAUGAUUUCUUUGAAUUUUUCUGUAGGAGCUCGAUCAAAAAUAACCUAAGAAAAAUAUGUCGUUCUUCUCUACAAUGGUUGCGUGUGGAAUCUGAGGAGAAUCUGUGCACCAGCAUCCGACUCCUUGAUGUUGCUCUGAUCAUAUUGUGUAAAUAUAUUUCUAAUAAAGCAAUCGCCCGAUGGUGUACAUGUUAGAAAUAACAAGAUGUAAUCAUCAAGUGUGAGAGAUGGCAACAUCAUGAUGGGAUGGUAUGUACUGUUGUGCUCAUCAAUAGGUUAGUCUUUCAUUCUCUUGUAGCCGGUAUGUUUUUUGUUAUGCAAAUAAUUAGGAAAUAUCUAAUUUCUAUGUAUGUCCAAAUAUAUAUAAGUGGUUGUUGUUAACACUGAAUUUGGAUUUGUUAACGGUCGCUGCAUUUGGUCUAUCCCGAGCCUCUGACUGUGGAUCAUGUUC
rnacentral:lncRNA from 1 species